CGUUCUGUUGUUGAUCUCAUUCAAGGCAAACAGCAUGGUCUGAGCCCAGCGGAAAGUACGGAAGUUAAAGCUGAGGGGGAAUUCACAUGUUAGAGUGGUGUUUCCCAGACAUGAUUCAAGACGGAAUUAUUAUUUCAGCUUAUUCAGUCAAGUUCAUCUGUGACUGAAAUGUUUAGAUUUAAUGUAAGUCUUCCACUAUCCAGUUAUAAAGUCAGAAUUGUGAGAUAUAAACUCGCAAUUGCAAGAAAGUCAGAAUUUCGAGAUAUAAAGUUGCAAUUGCGAGAAAAAAGUCCGAAUUUCGAGAAAAAGUAAGAAUUUGGAGAUAUAAAGUAGCAAUUGCGAGAAAAAAGUCUCAAUUGCGAGAAAAAGGUCAGAAUUAUGAGAAAAAAUUCAGAAUUUCGGGAUAUAAAGUUGCAAUUGCGAGAAAAAGGUCAGAAUUACGAGAUAUAAACUCGCAAUUGUGAGAAAAAAGUCAGAAUUACAAGAAAAAAAGUCAGAAUUUCAAGAAAAGUCAUAAUUUCGAGAUAAAGUCGCAAUUGCAAGAAAAAAGUCAGAAUAACGAGAUAUAAACUCGCAAUUGCGAGAAAAAAGUCAGAAUUACGAGAAAAAAUCAGAAUUUAAGAUAUAAAGUCGCAAUUGUGAGAAAAAAGUCAGAAUUUCAAGAAAAGUAAGAAUUUGGAGAUAUAAAGUAGCAAUUGCGAGAAAAAAGUCUCAAUUGCAAGAAAAAGGUCAGAAUUAUGAGAAAAAAAUUCAGAAUUUCGGGAUAUAAAGUUGCAAUUGCGAGAAAAAGGUCAGAAUUACAAGAUAUAAACUCGCAAUUGCGAGAAAAAAGUCAGAGUUGCGAGAAAAAGUCAGAAUUUAAGAUAUAAAGUCGCAAUUGUGAGAAAAAAGUCAGAAUUUCAAGAAAAAGUAAGAAUUUGGAGAUAAAAACUCGCAAUUGCGAGAAAAAGGUCAGAAUUAUGAGAAAAAAAAUCAGAAUUUCGGGAUAUAGUCGCAAUUGCAAGAAAAAAGUCAGAAUUUCGAGAUAUAAAGUCACAAUUGCGAGAAAAAGGUCAGAAUUACAAGAAAAAAAGUCAUAAUUUCGAGAAAAGUCAUAAUUUCGAGAUAACGUCGCAAUUGCAAGAAAAAAGUCAGAAUUACGAGAAAAAAAGUCAGAAUUUCGAGAUAUAAAGUCGCAAUUGUGAGAAAGAAAAGUUAGAAUUAUGAGAUAAAAAGUCACAAUUAUCUUUUUGUUUUAUUCAGCGGCAGAAGCUUCCAUAGUUAGUAGAAUGUCUAAAGUGAACCAAAUAAAGUGUAACCACGUGUAAUACCAACUGGUACCACUAGAUGUCAUUGUACCAGGCAGGUUGAUUGGCGUUGUACAAGUUAUUUUCCAUUGAUUAUGGAAUAUAAAAGUGGUCUCGGGAGGACAAACUGUAAUUAUUCCUUAGACAACAGUUCAAUUAAUUUUGCGUGAUCAAUGAUGAUUUGAAAUAAUUAAGACAAAUUAAGCGUUGGCAAUUAAGCAAUUAAUCUUUUUUCUGUAAUAAUAUACAUUUAUCAAAUAACGACAAGCAAUUAAAAAGUAUGCACGUUUUGUUUAAGUGCACUUAUGUGACAAAUAUCGACAGAUCUAAUGACAGUCUGAAAAUAGGCAAUCUCGAGGCUGUUUUCGCUUGUAAAAGGUCAAAUCGAGUAUCUUACCCCUCGC